CUGGAGGUUCGGCCUAAACUCCCAACCCUUGUGAACGACCUACCAGUGGCCUUCGGCGGCGAGCCUUAGGUGCGACAACUGCCUGGAGGAAUACAAGACUCUUCAUUAAUGUAUCUCUGAGUCACUUAUUCAAUAAGUUA
rnacentral:misc_RNA from 1 species